UACAGAGGGUGCAAGCGUUAAUCGGAAUUACUGGGCGUAGAGCGUGCGUAGACGGUUAUGUAAGUCGGGUGUGAAAGCCCCGGGCUCAACCUGGGAAUUGCAUUCGAGACUGUGUAGCUAGGGUACGGAAGAGGGAAGCGGAAUUUCAGGUGUAGCGGUGAAAUGCGUAGAUAUCUGAAGGAACACCAGUGGCGAAAGCGGCUUCCUGGUCCAGUACCGACGUUCAGGCACGAAAGCGUGGGGAGCAAACAGG
rnacentral:rRNA from 1 species